UUGGUCAAAGGAAGCAUACUGGACUAUAAAGUCAUCAGAUUUUAGCAAUGCAAUCGGGUCGCUGUUUUGAGCCCUUUGAUUUUGAACGCUGAUGCUGCACAUAAGCAUUGGGUUUCUGUUGGGCUGCUGAUGAGUCGAUAUUUUCUUGACUUUACUUAGUUUAUUGUGCUAGAAUUAAUCAGGGAAUUGUGCUUAAUUUUCCGGUAUUUUCCCGUUUUCCCUAAAUAUGCUUAAUUUGACCGGAAAUUCUAAUUUUAUUUAAUUUGAAUUUUCUGAGCUAAUUAUUUGCAUUAUUAUUUGCAGGGAAAAUUUUGGAGAUAUAUUUUGGAGCAUUAGGAUGAAGACAAAAUAAAUCAAGACUCUUCCAUAAGCGUUUUAGAAUUAGUUGUAUUUUAAUUUAGUAGUUUAGAAUUUUUAGACAAACUUUGACAUUGUGGGCCAAUUUUUGGUAUUUGUUGUUGAGCCCAAUAGUAAAAAAUAGAUACAUGGCACCCUAGGGUUGGGUGGAUCCCACCCUAAUUUUUGAGACACUUGAUCCUAGGAAGAAAAAGAGGCAAUAGCCGUCACUCCCCUUUUGGCUCUCGGCUGGGAACAUUUUUACAGAGUUUUUACAUUGAAAUGGAGGAGAAAACAAUGAUGGGAAAAGAGGUAUAGCAGCCACCUUGAGAAGAUUUAUUGCUAGCCGCCACACUCUUUGGUUUGGCCUUUCAUUGAAUGUUGGGAUGAAGUUUUAGCUUUUUUUUUUUUCUUCACGCUGGUUUUCAUGGAAUAAAAGAAGGUUUUCCAUUUUUAGUUUUGUGCACGUUAGUUUCCUUGGAUGAAAAGGAAGUCGCCACCCUCACUUUUAAUUACUUUGCUUUGAACGUUUUGAAAAACACUGAAUGGGAAUGGACACACUCUUACGGAUAUUUUAUUUACAAUUGCUUUCAAUGUGGUAUGCACACGUUUUUUUUACUUGGAAUCAUGGGGUGACGGUGAUUUAAAAUUUCUGGAACAACAUUUAAUAUGUUUUAUCUAGAAUAGUAGGAGUUGUUAAUUUGUUUGGAGAGAGGCAUAGUUUUUCAAUUAGCUUUUAUUUCCUUGGGAGGAGCUCGCUGGAACAAGUGUUUUCUUUAAUUUAAUUUGCAUUGAAGUGUGGUGUCUCGGCUGGAACAUGGGCUGAAUUUGUUGGAGAAAACAUUGGUGCCAUGGUGAAAGAAGCACACGAUGGUUUCAUCAAGAAAUUGCACAUGCGGCAAUUUUAUUUGGCUUUGAAAAUUGUAGCAGCACGGACACUUGGCUGGAGAAAAAGAAGGCUCCAAAGGGUUUCAUUUUACUAGCUUUAAGCUUGCACCUAGAAGUUUUUUUUUUUUUUUUUGUUCGGUUAUUAUUGAUAUUGGUAUACAUUCAGGUUGAGUAGCUU
rnacentral:lncRNA from 1 species